ACAGGAUGGAGCAGGACACCUCCUCCACCAGGGAGCCCAGGAGUGAGGUGUGGAGGCACAGCCCAGGAGCCUGAGGAUGCUGAAGCCUCAGCCUAGGAGGGAAACAGAGGCCUAGAGAAGCAAAGUGGCUUCCCCAAACUCCCCCACUUACUGAAGGCAGAACCAGGAGGCGCAGGCAGGUUCUGAUCACCGCAGAGAGGACUUCAGGACUUCUGAACAGGAAUGCUCUGCACAGCAGCGAAUGCUGAGCUCCCUCUCCAGCUGGCGUGGAGCCCUGGCUCCUGCAGUGUGGGACUUGGUGCCAUAUUUUACAGCAGACAUAAAUUCCACGUUUCCGAGUAAAACUAGAACCCAGUUUAUGCCCAAUGAAAAUAAAUUAAUUUUAAUGAGGCU